rnacentral:rRNA from 1 species
GAUGAACGCUAGCGGCAGGCCUAAUACAUGCAAGUCGAACGGGAUCCAGAUCAAAGCUUGCUUUGGUCUGGUGAGAGUGGCGCACGGGUGCGUAACGCGUGAGCAACCUACCCUUGUCAGGGGGAUAGCCCGGCGAAAGUCGGAUUAAUACCGCAUGACAUCAUUGAGAGGCAUCUUUCGAUGAUCAAAGAUUUAUCGGACAAGGAUGGGCUCGCGUGACAUUAGCUAGUUGGUAAGGUAACGGCUUACCAAGGCUGCGAUGUCUAGGGGCUCUGAGAGGAGAAUCCCCCACACUGGUACUGAGACACGGACCAGACUCCUACGGGAGGCAGCAGUAAGGAAUAUUGGUCAAUGGACGGAAGUCUGAACCAGCCAUGCCGCGUGCAGGAGGACGGCCCUAUGGGUUGUAAACUGCUUUUAUACGGGAACAAACGUCGGUACGUGUAUCGGUCUGAGUGUACCGUAAGAAUAAGGAUCGGCUAACUCCGUG